UAAGACAAGGGCACCUCUUGUUGGAGAUCCCUGUGUGCAUGAGGCCUUCUAAAGGUGAGCAGUGCUUUACCUCUGUUUCUGUAUCUGUGGUGGCUGCAUUUGGGCUUGUUCUCAUUUGCUGUUUCCAAAGACUUUGCUACCCCUCUAUUAUCACUGUACUUUCCAUCCCAUUAUAGCAUUACAGUGGGGGUGAUUGGAGUUAACAGGAGCCCAUGACCAGCUGAGUAUGGAAUGCUCCUCUGGUGCAGAAGAUCACAUCAUCACUUUAUCAUUGCUCCAGAAGGACCGGGCAACGGAGCAUAAUUUAUCACUACAGCUCAAAGAUCUGCCAUGGCAGAGCCUGCUGCCUUGUGCCAAGCCAACCUGCCUGGUGUAACCUUUUGGGGGCAAGGAGGGUUGGCUGGGGAGCGAAGGCUACAGAAGCAACAAGCUAAGGAGAGCAGACAGAUCUCUGGCGGACCCAAGACCUUCUGGCUAGACACAGAACUGGAGAUGCUCAUGUGAAAAAAAGCCAUAUAGAAAUGAUACACAAGUGAUAAAAGCUCUGAGUUCUCAAAAGAGUUACAGACAAGUCAUGUGCAAGACCCCAGCCCCAUCAUCUCCCACCUGAGUGACAAAGUGCUCAGCACAGCAACUGCACCGUGCCCUUGGGAAA
rnacentral:lncRNA from 1 species